rnacentral:rRNA from 1 species
UAGUAAGCGCGAGUCAUCAGCUCGCGU